UCCUUUUUCCUGUGAUGACUUUUUUGCCCAACAUGAGGUGACAGUGGAAACAGCAGUGCUUCCUGUUGCACCUGAGAAAGUAUAAUUAAAAUUUAAUUUGCUUUUGCUCCCCAGAAGAAACAUAUCCCAAAGGAAGGCAGGGCACCAUUGCCUUCUUCUCUGUGCCAACAACUGAGCAUUUUUAAAAGGUGGUGGUGCAAACAGUAUUUUGACUCCUCAUCUUGUGUUCUCUGAAUGGAAGAUGACUGCAUUGUGCACAGAUCCUUUUGCGGUGACUUUUUUCUUUUUGCUGAUAGGAGAGGCAGUCUUAGGUGCUUCUGAGGAUAAGCAGCAAACACCAGCUUCCUAAUCCUGUCAUAGUUUUUCAGGCAAAUAUUACAAUUUUGUCAUAAUAGGUAAUUUAGUUUUCUCAUUGCCAAGAGGAAUGAAUGCAACAAUGGAUUGUUUUUCUAGCAUUGCCUCUGCAAAUGUUUCUCUUAGUGAUUUUGGUACCAGCAACUGGAGCAAGUGCCAGUGCAUAUGGCAGUGUACCAACACCAGUAAAUAUCAAGUCAGGCUAGCUGCUUCUACUGUGGACAAAGCCAGGAGCUGAAUGUGGUAUGGCUGUUGCCAAACACAUGGAGACCAACAGAGGGCUUGUACUGUAACUUAUGCAACACAGUUGAGGCUGAUUUAAAGCUCAUCAGAUGACAUAGACUGAAUCUAGCUGCUACAUCUCCAGGCCCACAUUACCUAUAUAUGUGCAGAUUUUCAUGCCUGAGACAAAGGAAAGAACAGGAUGGCAAGCCCUUAAGUCACACAGAGUUCUGAUGAAGAUCUACUACAUGCUUUCCUUUAAAAUUGGCAUUCAGAAAGCACCACAAAGACUUCAGGAUUCUAAAUGUAUUUUUUUUGUUUUCUUUGAAAAACCUAGCAGAACACAGAGGUUUCCAAACAGAGUAAUUUAUAGAACAUGUUAAAAAAUGAAAUUGAAUGUAAAUGCCCUCUUGCUCAUUGUUCCAUCUCCUUC